ACAAGUCGGAGCGUUAUGUCUUUGGCCGUGACCUUGCCAUACCGCUGUGAUAAUUUGUACUUCCAUCUAUGGCAAGUGAGUUCUCUUAGAUCAAAUAUAAAAUGUUUUCUUUAGAUUGAUUGUUUUGUGUUUUUUUAGAUUUCUCUUGAGUGUCUAAUUUUUUUAACCAUAUGCAUUGUGCUCAAUAAGCCAUUGUUGGACAGACCUGGAUAACCGUGCAUGUAGUUUUCUUAGAAGCAGCACCAUUGAAGCCGAUCAAUAGAAGGAUGGAAUAUGGGUGAUUCAGUUUUGCAUGACUCUGCCCCAGGAAGUUGUAGUUUCUUAGCAUUGAAGUUGAUCAAUAGAAGUAUGGAAUAUAAAUGGUUCAGUUUUGCAUGACUUCCCCAGGAAGUUGUAGUUUCUUACCAUUGAAGUUGAUCAAUAGAAGUAUGGAAUAUAAAUCGUUCAGUUUUGCAUGACUCUAUCCCAGGAAGUUGAAAUACAGCAUUUAAGCAGCCGUUGCGCUAAUAUGGAUCAAACAUGCACAGCAUUAAGCAGCCGUUGUGCUCCUUGCUCCAGAAGAGGCAAAUCUUAUGUGGAGGAGUAAUGGAUCUCGUAACUAUGUUUCAAACUUUUCUUUAUCAAUGAGAUGAAGCUUUGCCUCCAUUUCGAUUUUUUUUUGCUCCAGAAGUUGCAAUCAAAGAUCAAACAUACUACAUCCCAUUUGCACCCAGGCUUGACACCAAGCAGAAGGUACCAUACGCAAGUCAUUGCUAGCUCACACUUGUGCUUAGUUGAGCAUGCACUGAACGAACACAAUAUUUCACAGUGCUUGAAACUUUAACUUCGAUCUUGUUCCAGAAAUCUGAUACAGUUUCGUCAAUAGUCUUUGGUGACUCGGUAUUUUGUAGUUACGAAGAAUAUAUACUGUGAAGGAAUACAGGGGCAUUUUAAUAUAGAAGCCCAUACAAUUUCAAACCAUAUGCUGUGAAAAGAACGAAUUUUUUGAUUAGGUAUCAUGCCUUAGAGGCUGUGUGUUCUACAGUCAGUGGGAUGCCCUUUGGCCAGGUUUGAGUUGUGUAUUGCUUUUGGUAUUCCUGCCCUCAUUUUCUUUGUGACCCGGAUGACUUGUGUGGUAAGACUUCUAGCACCUAAUGUUAAUUCACUAUAUGUCCUUUAGUUUCCUCUCUGGAAAUUCUGUUUUUAUUUCAUGUUAAUAAGUUUGUGGCAGCUUAUAAUCACAUUCUUUAUCACCAACGAUACCUGGGAUGUUGGACUGUCAGCAGAACUUUGGCAGGAACGGCAACUAAAAUGUUCAAUGCAUUCAGCAACCACUUGGGGGCUAAAAAAACUGAAGAGGCUUUUGUGUUGCCCCUUUUAACUUUUGGGUCUAUCUCAGGGUUGAAGAUUAGUAACUUAUAAUAUGCUGAAAAACUAUCUAUUGCCCCUUUUGCAUUAGUAAGAAAUUGGAUGACAGUCAGACUAGCAAACAUACAUGUGUGUUGUAACGGGAAAAUAAUUAACGUCUUCACUAAAAUAUUUUGUUUUUUGUUUUAGGAAUUUUGAUCGAUGCAUAUUAGAAUUAUCGUACAGUAGGAGUUUCUAGUUUCCUACAUUCUCGAGCUCGAAAACUUAAGGCACACUUUGGAUGCCGAUAAAAGUUAGAGGUGGCAUCAUUCUUGCUGACGCGGAGCACAAAUGGAUUUUAUGUUUGUCAACAAUGUUGCUCUAAAAUUGAGAUGAAUAGACGUAUGCAUUUUCAGAAGAAAUAAGGAGUGCGACAUGUGUAUUUUAAGCCAUGUAUGGACGAUCAGCAUGAAUAAACAAACUUUGACUGCGGCAUUACAACUGCAAGGAUACAUAAUUGGGUUGUUUACCCGCGGCUUAAAAGUCUGCUGCCUCAUUUUCCCAUUAGGCCUUGUUCGGUUAAUCCCACUUAGGAGGGGAUUGGAGAGGAAUGGAGGGGAUUGAGGUGAAAUUUGACUUGUAGGGGAUUUAAUCCCUCCCAAUCCCUUUCAAACCUCUCCAAUUUUGAAGAAACCGAACAAGGCCUUAGGGUAUUGCAUCUUUGUAAUCAUCAGUGGUAGAUGUUUACUAUGCAAUUUUAUUAUUGUAGGCUUUGUUGGGCUUUCAUUCACAUAGUUUUGUAGGAUAAUAAUAAAUAUUUUUUAAGUGGAUAACUUAAGGAUUAUGAAUACGUGGGGGUUGCAGAAUGAAGGUGUCUUUCUCAAACUGUUAAGAAAAAAAUGAGAGACAACCGAUAGAAAUCAAAUCUGUGUUCUUUAUUGAUGAUUGGCAUGCUAUUUAUACAAUGGGAAUGGUCGUCUCACAGGGACGCGAUGGUUUGUAGAGGCGUCAUCUACUACCAUUAAGAAAGCACGAGAGGACAGAUCCAACUAAAAAUAUUAGCCGUUGAUUGUAUAAUCUAAUGACCUUAAACAACGUUAACGAAUUUCGACCCCAUCUCCAUUGCCGUGGGCGACAGCCUAUACGUCAUGAGCCGCAACCCUGGCCUCGGCCGCGGCCGGAUCAGCACUGCUUCCAGGCUCUCAUCCACAGCCGCCCGCCUGCUAGUGCUAGCAACGCCAAAGACUGGUGCUGGUAUUCCCUCCAGCCACCGCCUCUCUUUGCCGAUGGGGUGGAAGUGGAAUCCAGCGGCUGCGACGUCUUAAUGCCCUUUAAAAUCAGCGCCUACACUGUGGUUGGCGAUUCACAGAUCUGGAUAUCUACAUUUGCCGCUGGCACAUACUUGUAUGACACCGUGAGUGACGCAUGGAGCAAAGUAGGCAACUGGGCACUGCCCUUCAGAGGUCGUGCUGAGUACAGCCCUGAGCACAACCUCUGGUUUGGCUUCACACCCAACGAUUUGCAGCUCUGCACAGCAGACCUCACUACCUCAUGUGAAUUGUGGCCGCCCAUGCUGCAGAAUGUGUGGACAGAUGUGAACAGGCCAGAAGAUUGGAGACUGAGAGAUGCGAGCAUUGUGCCGCUAGGAUCCGGUAAAGUCUGCAUUGCCAGGUUCUUUCUUACUAGGCCAGAGGAGAGCAUUGAGGAUAUGUCUGGCCAUGCCCUUGAGAAAAGAAAGAAUCUUGCUGUUCUUGAGGGCGUCAAAGUGUUAAAGCAUGGGGAGGCUCAGCUCCGGAUGGUUAAGCACAAGUCGGAGCGUUAUGUCUUUGGCCGUGACCUUGCCAUACCGCUGUGAUAAUUUGUACUUCCAUCUAUGGCAAGUGAGUUUUCUUAGAUCAAAGACCAGUGGCUCGCCUGUAUAUUGUCCUGCUUUCUAUCUGUCAGUUGUUGUUUCCGUACCCUACCGUUGUUGGUGCUUGUGCUUUUGUUAUGCAGUUUGUCGACUUGUUUUUACUGGCUCCAACUACGCUUGUGCCCUUACCCUUCGCCUCCAGCCGGUGAAUUAUUCUUGUGGGACAAAUAUAAAAUGUUUUCUUUAGAUUGAUUGUUUUGUUUUUUUUAGAUUUCUCUUGAGUGUCUAAUUUUUUUAACCAUAUGCAUUGUGCUCAAUAAGCCAUUGUUGGACAGACCUGGAUAACCGUGAAUGUAGUUUUCUUAGAAGCUGCACCAUUGAAGCCGAUCAAUAGAAGGAUGGAAUAUCGCAUAUCGGUGAUUCAGUUUUGCAUGACUCUGCCCCAGU
rnacentral:lncRNA from 1 species